rnacentral:rRNA from 1 species
AUACGUAGGUGGCGAGCGUUGUCCGGAAUGACUGGGCGUAAAGGGCGGGUAGGCGGCGGUGUAAGUCUGGAGUGAAAGUCCCGCUUUCAAUGUGGGAAUUGCUUUGGAUACUGCAGUGCUAGAGUGCGGAAGAGGUGAGUGGAAUUCCCAGUGUAGCGGUGAAAUGCGUAGAGAUUGGGAGGAACACCAGUGGCGACGGCGACUUCCUGGCCGUAACUGACGCUGAGGCGCGAAAGCGUGGGGAGCGAACAGGAUUAGAUACCCUGGUAGUCCACGCGGUAAACGAUGAAUGCUAGGUGUUGCGGGUAUCGACCCCUGCAGUGCCGGAGUAAACACAAUAAGCAUUCCGCCUGGGGAGUACGGCCGCAAGGUUGAAACUCAAAUGAAUUGACGGGG